rnacentral:other from 2 species
GUUUCCCUGCGGCGUUCGUUCCGGUUCGAUAUUCUUUGAACCAAUAUAUUGACCUCGGCUGCGUAGCUGGCCGCGCCUGUUGUGCCCAUCGUUUAUCCGAUGAGCCUGAUGGCGUGCCGCGCGUGACCACUUGAACCGUUAGGUUCAAGAUGUGAGCCGGAACGGCGCCCGCGGGGAUCCC